AGAGUUUGAUCCUGGCUCAGAAUCAACGCUGGCGGCGCGCUUAACACAUGCAAGUCGCACGAGAAAGGGAGCAAUCCUAAGUAAAGUGGCGCACGGGUGAGUAACACGUGGAUCAUCUACCUUUUAGUGGGGAAUACCUCUGGGAAACCGGAGACAAUACCGCAUAAGCCCGCAAGGGGAAAGCAGCAAUGCGCUGAAAGAGGAGUCCGCGGCCGAUUAGCUAGUUGGCGGGGUAAUGGCCCACCAAGGCGAAGAUCGGUAGCCGGCCUGAGAGGGCACACGGCCACACUGGCACUGAAACACGGGCCAGACUCCUACGGGAGGCAGCAGUGGGGAAUCUUGCACAAUGGGCGAAAGCCUGAUGCAGCGACGCCGCGUGAGCGAUGAAGCCCUUCGGGGUGUAAAGCUCUUUCGACGGGAACGAUAAUGACGGUACCCGGAGAAGAAGCUGCGGCUAACUACGUGCCAGCAGCCGCGGUAAUACGUAGGCAGCGAGCGUUGUUCGGAAUUACUGGGCGUAAAGAGUGUGUAGGCGGUGCUCCCAGUCUGUUGUGAAAUCUCCCGGCUUAACUGGGAGGGUGCAGCGGAAACUAGAGUGCUAGAGGGUGGGAGAGGUAAGCGGAGUUCCUGGUGUAGCGGUGAAAUGCGUAGAUAUCAGGAGGAACACCUGUGGUGUAGACAGCUUACUGGACCACUUCUGACGCUGAGACACGAAAGCGUGGGUAGCAAACAGGAUUAGAUACCCUGGUAGUCCACGCCCUAAACGAUGCAUACUUGGUGUGAGCGAUUCAUUUCGUUCG
rnacentral:rRNA from 1 species